AAAGCUGUAUUUGACUUCUCAAACACAUCGUUGGCAAAUGGCAAUCAAACUGCAGUUGCUUUUGUUUUGCAUGGUCCUUGUUGCCCUCUUGGCUCUUACUGAAUGUAAGUAUAUAACUUCAUCCAUGAUUAGAUUUAAUAAAUAAUUUAUCAGAUUUAGUGGCUUGAAUAAACAAAUAGAUGCAAACUUCAUACAUAUACAUAGUCAUGAAGAAAAUUUAUCCUUUCCAAUAAAACUUGUAGGAUUGUUAGUGAUAUGGAAGUUGUCAUCUAUUAUAUUUCUUUCUCAAAGGACAUUAAAUUCUAUGAGUUAUUUGAACUUUACUUCUUUCGUUUACGGGGUAUAAUUUUAAGUAUUUUCUUUUUUCACUGGAAAUUAUAAACAGGUAAUGGAAACAACUUUGAUGUUCCUAGCAACAAGAAGAGUAAUGUGGUCGAGAAUUCAAUGGUGAAAGGUGAUGAACUGUGAAUAUCUGGGCCAGCAAACUGGAGCUAUGCUCACAAAGUUGUUCGCCAAAUCAGAUUCAAAAAUGUUGGUGUUGUGCAUUUAACCAUGAGUGCUGGAGGUCUCUAAAAGAAUGUCAACAAGUCUGUGACCCGCACAAAUUAAAUGUUAAACCCUAAACCCGUAAAGGGAAGAUAAUCCAUGUAUUGCACAAUUUUAUUAAGAAAAUAAUUUGAAUAUCAACGUCAAGAACCACAUAUUUCAUCAACAAUGUUGUUUUAAUUUUUUUUUAUACAAGCAUAUCUUUUUUCUAAGAGGUCGCACUUGGUGCGAUGGCAAGUGCCUUCGCCCAUAAGC
rnacentral:lncRNA from 1 species